rnacentral:rRNA from 1 species
CCUACGGGAGGCAGCAGUGAGGAAUAUUGGUCAAUGGACGAGAGUCUGAACCAGCCAAGUAGCGUGAAGGAUGACUGCCCUAUGGGUUGUAAACUUCUUUUAUAUGGGAAUAAAAUGUUCCACGUGUGGGAUUUUGUAUGUACCAUAUGAAUAAGGAUCGGCUAACUCCGUGCCAGCAGCCGCGGUAAUACGGAGGAUCCGAGCGUUAUCCGGAUUUAUUGGGUUUAAAGGGAGCGUAGGUGGAUUGUUAAGUCAGUUGUGAAAGUUUGCGGCGCAACCGUAAAAUUGCAGUUGAAACUGGCAGUCUUGAGGACAGUAGAGGUGGGCGGAAUUCGUGGUGUAGCGGUGAAAUGCUUAGAUAUCACGAAGAACUCCGAUUGCGAAGGCAGUUCACUGGACUGCAACUGACACUGAGGCUCGAAAGUGUGGGUAUCAAACAGGAUUAGAUACCCCGGGUAGUC